rnacentral:rRNA from 1 species
UGAGGAACAUGACUUUCGGCGGGGGAUAGCCGGCCCAACGGCCGGGUAAUACCGCGUACGACCUUUUGGGGACAUCCCUGAUUGGUGAAAGCAGCAAUGCGCCGAAAGAGUGCCUCGCGGCCUAUCAGCUAGUUGGUGGGUAAUGGCUCACCAAGGCAACGACGGGUAGCUGGUCUGAGAGGAUGGCCAGCCACAUUGGGACUGAGACACGGCCCAGACCUCCGUACGGGAGGNAGCG